AACGAACGCUGGCGGCAGGCUUAACACAUGCAAGUCGAACGGACCCUUCGGGGUUAGUGGCGGACGGGUGAGUAACACGUGGGAACGUGCCUUUAGGUUCGGAAUAGCUCCUGGAAACGGGUGGUAAUGCCGAAUGUGCCCUUCGGGGGAAAGAUUUAUCGCCUUUAGAGCGGCCCGCGUCUGAUUAGCUAGUUGGUGGUGUAACGGACCACCAAGGCGACGAUCAGUAGCUGGUCUGAGAGGAUGAUCAGCCACAUUGGGACUGAGACACGGCCCAAACUCCUACGGGAGGCAGCAGUGGGGAAUCUUGCGCAAUGGGCGAAAGCCUGACGCAGCCAUGCCGCGUGAAUGAUGAAGGUCUUAGGAUUGUAAAAUUCUUUCACCGGGGACGAUAAUGACGGUACCCGGAGAAGAAGCCCCGGCUAACUACGUGCCAGCCGCCGCGGUAA
rnacentral:rRNA from 1 species